GUUUCAAUUCCUCAUAGGCAGGCUAUCGGCCCCUCUGUGAGUGGGGUCAUGUUUCCGUCCCACUCAGG
rnacentral:sRNA from 1 species